UGAAACUCUAUGAUGUCAUUCAUUCCCUGUUGCCAUGACAACCAUGAAGCCAUGCUACCAAGAGGAGAGAGGAGGAGAUCGGGGCAGCAGACUUCCUUGAACCACAGCUUACACAGAGGAAAAGUCAAGCCUCAAAUGCAAAUCCAUUGAAAUAGCAUUUUUACUUGGAGAGUGAAAUACCAGAAUUCAGAUCUCCCCCAAAGCCAACCAAUAACAUAGCUGGAAGGUUAGCUUCGGAAAAUCUUGCAAGAAACCAAGCCAACGCAAGUCGCCAAGAAACAUUUGGAAAAGAGAUGAUUAGAACAUGGAUUUCAAAUAGAAUUGAAAAUGAGAAAUGCAACCUGUCAUUUUGGAUAGGCAUUUAAAGAACUUGACAGUGAAGCCGGCGAGAGGGCAGAUCUCAAAGCAGGAAGAGGUUCCCUAAAGUAAGAGGUAUCAGCCAACUUUCAAAUGGCUAAAAGAGUGACUGACUUGGAGCCUGGAUUCUGUAUGAAACUGCCACGGUGGACAUUAAUUUCACGAAUCUUUUACUGGACACAGGCACUUGGUGGGCCUUAAAUUAAAUAAGGGUCAGGGGACAGGAAAGAACCUUAAGAGAGAAUCGAUCCUCUACCCCAACCUUCAGGUAAAGCAUUUUCUAGAACAGAUUGGCCUUGAAGAUCUCACCACGGGGAUUUAAUUUCAUUGCUGGGAUUACCUAUAAAAUGACCCAGCAGGAGUCUCUGCUCUUCCAAGUUUGGUCAUUCGGGCAUCUGAUGUUCAGUCAGCAUUGUUAUUCCUCAUCUCCCUCUACGGGCAUUUUUUCCUAUAGGCAGCUACAAUUUUACUCCUACUGUUAUGAGAAAAAGAAGUUUUAAUCCCGUUAAGGUACGCAUUUGUUCAAAAUAAGCUUAAUGACCAAGCAAAAUGUAGAGGAGCUAAAAGCUUAACAAAUUUAGAACAAACUCACUAAUUCUCAGCUGGCUCCUCCUGGAAUUAUCUCAAAAAGAAGACUCUCUUGAAGAAGCAGGGUUGAUUAUUUUACUGAACCCAAUUACUCUUGGAGAAGUUCCUCUCUAUCUUAAUUAAAGUUCUACCUUGAAGUCGGUG